GCACAAGCGGUGGAGCAUGUGGUUUAAUUCGACGCAACGCGAAGAACCUUACCUGGGCUCGAAAUGUACCGGAAUCCGGCAGAAACGUCGGCGUCUAGCAAUAGACCGGUAUAUAGGUGCUGCAUGGCUGUCGUCAGCUCGUGUCGUGAGAUGUUGGGUUAAGUCCCGCAACGAGCGCAACCCUUAUCUUCAGUUGCUACCAUUUAGUUGAGCACUCUGACGAAACCGCCUCGGAUAACGGGGAGGAAGGUGGGGAUGACGUCAAGUCCUCAUGGCCUUUAUGUCCAGGGCUACACACGUGCUACAAUGGCCGGUACAAACCGCUGCAAACCCGCGAGGGGGAGCUAAUCGGAAAAAGCCGGCCUCAGUUCGGAUUGGAGUCUGCAACUCGACUCCAUGAAGCUGGAAUCGCUAGUAAUCGUGGAUCAGCAUGCCACGGUGAAUACGUUCCCGGGC
rnacentral:rRNA from 1 species